CGGCGGACGGGUGAGUAACGCGUGGGUAACCUGCCUCAUACAGGGGGAUAACAGUUAGAAAUGGCUGCUAAUACCGCAUAAGACCACGGUACUGCAUGGUACAGUGGUAAAAACUCCGGUGGUAUGAGAUGGACCCGCGUCUGAUUAGGUAGUUGGUGAGGUAACGGCCCACCAAGCCGACGAUCAGUAGCCGACCUGAGAGGGUGACCGGCCACAUUGGGACUGAGACACGGCCCAG
rnacentral:rRNA from 1 species